GUUUGAUUAUGGCUCAGGACGAACGCUGGCGGCGUGCCUAACACAUGCAAGUCGAACGGGGUUAUACCGAUUAAUCUUCGGAAGCGUUGAUAUAACUUAGUGGCGGACGGGUGAGUAACACGUGAGCAACCUGCCUUUCAGAGGGGGAUACCGUUUGGAAACGAACGUUAAUACCGCAUAACGUAACGGGACCGCAUGAUUCUGUUACCAAAGGAGCGAUCCGCUGAAAGAUGGGCUCGCGGCUGAUUAGAUAGUUGGUGGGGUAACGGCCUACCAAGUCAACGAUCAGUAGCCGGACUGAGAGGUUGAACGGCCACAUUGGGACUGAGACACGGCCCAGACUCCUACGGGAGGCAGCAGUGGGGAGUAUUGCGCAAUGGGGGCAACCCUGACGCAAGCAACGCCGCGUGUGGGAAGAAGGUCUUCGGAUUGUAAACCAUUGUCUUCGGUGACGAUAAUGACGGUAGCCGAGGAGGAAGCUCCGGCUAACUACGUGCCAGCAGCUGC
rnacentral:rRNA from 1 species